ensembl:snRNA U1 U1 spliceosomal RNA
ACUCAUACCUGGCAGAGGAGAUACCGUUAUUGUAAAAGUGGUUUUCCCAGGGUAAGGCUCAUCUAUUAUACUCUGGAUGUGCUGACCCCUGUGAUUUCCCCAAAUGUGGGAAAAUCAACUGCCUAAGUGGGGGACUAUGUGGUUUCCCCUG